UGUGUGUGUGUGUGUGUGUGUGUGUGUGAGGGAUCUCAAUGAAAAGCUGGCUAAGACGAGGAAAAUGACAACUGAGCUGCAGUGCAAACUAGACAAUAUUGAAGCACUUGAGGCUUCUGUACAGGAAAUGAAUGGACGGAGUCUACAAGAGCUGAAGGGCAUACAAAUGGAACACACAGUUAUGCUACAACAAGCUCAGUGUGCAGCCCUGGAGGCCAAGAUGCAACAUGCAGCACCUACGAGAAGUGAGGACCUCGUCCCCAUUUCUUGUAGCUCAAGAAGAGUUGCCGGUUGAAAGGGUGGAACUCCCGGUCUCCUCUGCCUCCAACCCCGACGCAGUCGGGUGAAGUUUGGAGGGCCGAUCCAGCCAGUGGCCGUCCCACUCACGCCACGGGAGGAGGCUGCACUCCGUA